AUGGCCGCGGCUAUAUUAACUGGUGCUAAGGUAGCAUAAUCAUUUGUCUUUUAAUUAAAGGCUAGAAUGAACGGUUGGACGAGGUAUUUUCUUUCUUUGGUUUAGUUUAUGAAUUUAAUUUUUUAGUCAAAAAGCUAAAAUUUAUUUGGGGGACGAGAAGACCCUAUAGAUCUUUAUAUGUUAUAUUAUUUUAUAUUUUAGUGUUAUUAAUUAUUUUAAUAAUUUAAUUUAUUUGAUUGGGGUGAUUAUAGAAUUUAAAUUAACUUCUAUUUUUUAUUUUCAUUAAUUAAUGUUUUUUUUUUUGAUCCAGUUUUACUGAUUAAAAGAUUAAGUUACCUUAGGGAUAACAGCGUAAUUCUUUUGGAGAGCUCAUAUCGAUGAAGGAGUUUGCGACCUCGAUGUUGGAUUAAAAUAAGUU
rnacentral:rRNA from 1 species